GCCUUGGUGGUGCAACAGUAGCACACUGGGCGCGUAUUCCAGAGGUCCAGGUUCGAGUCCCGGCUAGCGCG
rnacentral:tRNA from 1 species